AUCGAACGCUGGCGGCAGGCCUAACACAUGCAAGUCGAGCGAGCGGCGGACGGGUGCGUAAUGUAUGGGGACUGCCCGUUAGAGGGGGAUAACUACUGGAAACGGUAGCUAAUACCGCAUACUAUCGGAUAACCCAUAUGGGAUUAGCUAGUAGGUGAGGUAAUGGCUCACCUAGGCGACGAUCCCUAGCUGGUCGGAGAGGGUGAUCAGCCACACGGGGACUGAGACACGGCCCAGACUCCUACGGAGGCAGCAGUGGGGAAUAUUGCGCAAUGGGCGCAAGCCUGAUGCAGCCAUGCCGCGUGUAUGAAGAAGGCCCUAGGAUUGUAAAGUACUUUCAGUAGGGAGGCGUUACCGACAGAGGAAGCACCGGCUAACUCCGUGCCAGCAGCCGCGGUAAUUC
rnacentral:rRNA from 1 species